rnacentral:sRNA from 11 species
AUGAAGCCUUUUACUGAUGAUAGAAUGUUCAUGGGUUCUACAAAGCAUGGGACCAGGGGAAGAGGUUCGACACCCCCACACUGCUCUAGAUUCUUAACUCUGCUGAUGCUUUUAGCCAUUGCGUCCACUAACUGGAGCGGCACGCGGUAAAGCACUCCGGGAUAGUAGAGCAGUGCUUUUGGCUGAAGCGCGGCAAAUCGGCAAGUCACAGAACGGCAAUGGACUCGGCUCACGAGUCC